rnacentral:rRNA from 1 species
UACGGAGGAUGCAAGUGUUAUCCGGAAUCACUGGGCGUAAAGCGUCUGUAGGUGGUUUAAUGUGUCUGUUGUUAAAUCUUAAGGCUCAACCUUAAACCAGCAAUGGAAACUAUUAUGACUUGAGUGUGGUAGAGGUAGAGGGAAUUUCCAGUGGAGCGGUGAAAUGCGUAGAUAUUGGAAAGACCACCAAUGGCGAAGGCACUCUACUGGGCCAUUACUGACACUCAGAGACGAAAGCUAGGGUAGCAAAUGGG